UAAACUCUUGGCAACUGUCUAGAUCUAUGAAGUCUCCCAAUCUUUCAACAGAAUAUCAGCAAGUCAGAAUUUGAACAUCGUAGCACCAACGAAUCACUGGCUUUAGGCACAUGCUGGAUAUCAGUUGAUAUCAGCCUACGUUAUUAUGUCAAGGUUAUAUCACACACAUACAGCAUGCCCUACAGUUCACAUUUGUGGUCACAACAUUUACUUAUUGUCACAAUUCACAUCUAUUGUCACAAUUCACAUGUGUUGUCACCACCAACAUUGAGGUCACUAGUAACAUAUGUUGUCACAACUAACAUUGAGGUCACAAUUCACACUUAUUGUCACAAUUCACAUGAGUUGUCACAACUAACAUUGAGGUCACAAUUCACACUUAUUGUCACAAUUCACAUGUGUUGUCACAACUAACAUUUGAUGUCACAAUUCACACUUAUUGUCACAAGUCACAUCUAUUGUCACAAGUCACAUGAGCUGUCACAACUAACAUUUGAUGCCACAACACACGUUUUUGUCACAUCUACCAUUCAUCAUGACAAUACACAUUAAUUGUGACAAUUCCCACUUGUAGUCACAAUGUGUUGAGCAUCUUACAAUCAACACAGUAAGUUCCAAUAUCAAAUAUGGCACCUGCUACACAACAUCUACACCUGAUUUUGGUUCAAAUGAAUAACUGAAUGUCAAAAAUAUAAAAAUUGAAUCUUCAUUAUUUAUUCAUGAAUAAAAUGUUUAAGAGGGGUUUUCAGCCAAAGUUUUUCUCCAUACAUACUGUACAUAAUAUACUUCUGACCAAAGACGUAUACAUGUAUGUAUAUCUAUAUACGUCUUUGUUCUGACAAUUGAUGUUUAAAAAGAAAAUUACUUUGGAUGGAUUUUAAUUAAUUACAAAGUCGGAACAUGUGCAUAUUUGUAACACUGUAUGUGUUUGUUCACAGUAGAUACUGCCAAACUACAAAAUACUUAUAAUUAAUGAAAUAAUUUAUUCAUCUUUACCCACAACAAAAAAAUUCCAAAUUGAACGAGUUCCUGUUGGAAAUACAAUAAUGUAUCCAGUAUAUAUUUUCUGCAAAUGAACCAUCAUCAGUUCCCUGUAUGGAAAAUGUACAUGUUUUGCAUGAAACCGACACAUAAAAUUACAAUGAGGCAUCUAUGUGAAUUAUGCAUGUUUUGUAUAAUAUAAUGUACAGUCGGAAUA